rnacentral:rRNA from 1 species
GUCGGGCGGCAGCGGGUCCUUCGGGAUGCCGGCGAGCGGCGAACGGGUGAGUAAUGUAUCGGAACGUACCCAUUAGUGGGGGAUAACUACGCGAAAGCGUGGCUAAUACCGCGUACGCCCCUUUGGCGACAUUGGGGGAAAGCAGGGGACCUUUCGGGGCCUUGCGCUAUUGGAGCGGCCGAUUUCGGAUUAGUUUGUUGGUGGGGUAAUGGCCUACCAAGGCGAUGAUCCGUAGCUGGUUUGAGAGGACGACCAGCCACACUGGGACUGAGACACGGCCCAGACUCCUACGGGAGGCAGCAGUGGGGAAUUUUGGACAAUGGGGGCAACCCUGAUCCAGCCAUUUCGCGUGUGCGAUGAAGGCCUUCGGGUUGUAAAGCACUUUUGGCGGGGAAGAAACGGCGGGCUCUAAUACAGCUUGCUAAUGACGGUACCCGCAGAAUAAGCACCGGCUAACUACGUGCCAGCAGCCGCGGUAAUACGUAGGGUGCGAGCGUUAAUCGGAAUUACUGGGCGUAAAGGGUGCGCAGGCGGUUUGUCAAGAAAGGUGUGAAAUCCCCGUGCUC